GACGAACGCUGGCGGCGUGCCUAAUACAUGCAAGUAGAACGCACAGUUUAUACCGUAGCUUGCUACACCAUAGACUGUGAGUUGCGAACGGGUGAGUAACGCGUAGGUAACCUGCCUGGUAGCGGGGGAUAACUAUUGGAAACGAUAGCUAAUACCGCAUAAUAUUAAUUAUUGCAUGAUAAUUAAUUGAAAGGUGCAAUUGCACCACUACCAGAUGGACCUGCGUUGUAUUAGCUAGUAGGUGAGGUAACGGCUCACCUAGGCGACGAUACAUAGCCGACCUGAGAGGGUGCUCCGCCACACUGGGACUGGGACACGGCCCAGACUCCUACGGGAGGCAGCAGUAGGGAAUCUUUGGCAAUGGACGAAAGUCUGACCGAGCAACGCCGCGCGAGUGAAGAAGGGUUUCGGAUCGUAAAACUCUGUUGUAAGAGAAGAACGGGUGUGAGAGUGGAAAGUUCACACUGUGACGGUAUCUUACCAGAAAGGGACGGCUAACUACGUG
rnacentral:rRNA from 1 species